rnacentral:lncRNA from 1 species
GGGGAUGCGGGCUGAGCACUGCACGUACCCCCUAUGUGAGAACAGAAAAUCCCUCCUCUGGAGGCAGAACGCCGCGUUCCGUGUCGGCAAAGACUCCACCCUCCAGGUCUGUGACUCAUGUGAUCUCUUCCGGGAAGCCUUCCUCCAUCCUUCCUUCGGAGCCGGAGCGGGCGGCUGUCCUCCGGCUCCACACCGUACAGGGUUGAAUGGCGUCUGGGACUUCCCACACACAUCAGCUUACCUGGCUGCCUGCCUUCUUGGACGAGGUGCAAAGUGAGGCCAGAGUAUACAACUUCCCUGUGGAAAUAAACAAAGACCACCCAGAUGAAGACAAAGACGUUCUCCAUUCAGAGCUUGCUACAGCAAGAGAGGCAGCCACUCUCACUCGUGUUUGGCAGAGACUCCCAGACAGACGAGGGACUGAGGGGAGCCCCAGAGUGGCCAAAAGGGAAGGCUCAGGUAUGCUCUCGUUGGAGGGGUUGGCCUGGAUAAAGAAGCAUCUUGGUGUGUUUGAUUUGGGAAUAGAGUUGGCUCUCUCUGGUUGGUCCUGAGUUGGAAAAGGCAGGGAAAAACCAGGAAGCUGGCCGUCUCCAGCCAAGUUGUGCUGUUCUGGGCUGGUGGUUGCCAGGACCUUGGGUCAGAGUUCUGUUGUCAUCUACGGUCUGGUCAUUGUUGGUUUGCAUCUCGGCCUCUCAUCCCUGAAGGCUCCAGCUCUCGUCCAUCCCUACAGAUACGCUCUUCUCACUGGAGGGGAAUCUCGGUCACCGUUCGGAGGGCAACUCUGUGCUAAGGACUGCUGCACACCCCCGUCGACCCACACCAGAAUGUCCCCUCCUUUGAACUGCUAGCCCUACUCUUAGUUCUGCUUCGAAGCGGAGUUACAAGAACCUCGAGAUCAGCCGCACACUGAAUGUCUCUGGCCAUGCCUUCUGUGGGCUCUGCAGACUCCGUGUCUGAAGGCUCCUUUGGAGCCGAGGAAGGCUGCUCUGCUCCCCAUGCCCCUACAGAACCCGCACGCAGUGACCAACAGAGCGAGCAGGACUGUGAUGCUGAGGAGGUGGGUCUCACACCACUUUCCAGAAACUUCAGCUCAAAUUGCUCUCUGCCUGGUGAGAGCAAGGCUCCUUUCCUUUGCCGUGUAUCACCGCCCCACCUCCCUGAGGUUACUCCCUGUCCCUCCAGUGCAUAAUCUUGGCUCUCAAAUCUUCCUUUUGCAGUCUGCUUCCGGGGAAAGCGCCCAUGUGAAAACGGCUUAUUGUCCCCAUUUUACAGAUGAGAGAAACUGAGUCUCAGAGAACUUAAGUGACAUACGUCAAGGUCGUGCAGCUUAGGAGCUGGGAUUGGUACUAAACCCUCACUGCUCUUGAUGUGUGUGUGUGUGUGUGUGUGUGUGUGUGUGUGAUUUUCUCCUAGUUCUCUGAAGCCAUUCAUUUCAUAGCCUUGUGCAAUAAUGUGCUUGUUUGAAAAGUUUCUAAAAAUGUAAUUGAAC